GAUGAACGCUGGCGGCGUGCCUAAUACAUGCAAGUCGAGCGAACAGAUGAGGAGCUUGCUCCUCUGACGUUAGCGGCGGACGGGUGAGUAACACGUGGAUAACCUACCUAUAAGACUGGGAUAACUUCGGGAAACCGGAGCUAAUACCGGAUAAUAUAUUGAACCGCAUGGUUCAAUAGUGAAAGACGGUUUUGCUGUCACUUAUAGAUGGAUCCGCGCCGCAUUAGCUAGUUGGUAAGGUAACGGCUUACCAAGGCAACGAUGCGUAGCCGACCUGAGAGGUUGAUCGGCCACACUGGAACUGAGACACGGUCCAGCCUCCUACGGGAGGCAGCAGUAGGGAAUCUUCCGCAAUGGGCGAAAGCCUGACGGAGCAACGCCGCGUGAGUGAUGAAGGUCUUCGGAUCGUAAAACUCUGUUAUUAGGGAAGAACAAAUGUGUAAGUAACUAUGCACGUCUUGACGGUACCUAAUCAGAAAGCCACGGCUAACUACGUG
rnacentral:rRNA from 1 species